ensembl:piRNA 21ur-4866 ncRNA
UUUCUGUCUGUGUGUUUGAAC